rnacentral:tRNA from 1 species
GUGGUAGUAGCUCAGUUGGUUAGAGCGCCGCUCUGUGGAAGCGGAGGUCGCCGGUUCAAAUCCGGUCUAUCACCCCA